rnacentral:rRNA from 1 species
AUUGAACGCUGGCGGCAGGCCUAACACAUGCAAGUCGAACGAGUGGCGGACGGGUGAGUAAAGUCUGGGAAAAUGCCCGAGGGAGGGGGAUAACACUUGGAAACGGUAGCUAAUAUCGCAUACCACAGGAUGUGUCCAGAUGGGGUUAGCUAGUGGGUGGGGUAACGGCUCACCUAGGCGACGAUCCCUAGCUGGUCUGAGAGGAUGACCAGCCCCACUGGAACUGAGACACGGUCCAGACUCCUACGGGAGGCAGCAGUGGGGAAUAUUGCACAAUGGGCGCAAGCCUGAUACAGCCAUGCCGCGUGUAUGAAGAAGGCCUUCGGGUUGUAAAGUACUUUCAGCGAGGAGGCGUUACUCGCAGAAGAAGCACCGGCUAACUCCGUGCCAGCAGCCGCGGUAAUAC